GCAUCACGCAACCUACUGAACAGCAGAGACUUGGAAGAGUUAACGUCUGACUUGUCACUGAGUAAUGGCUCCACCAGGCAAGCGUGCCCCUCGCAGAGAGGAGUUUGUGCUCGAGCUCACUUGUGAAUGGAGCUCUUGCCAGGAGACCUUUGGUGGGAUGGAGGAGUUCUGUCAGCACGUGGAAGUGCAUUACCAAGACCUCACUGCAGAGAGCGAAGACCCAGAUAUACCAGAAGAGGUGCACAGCUGCCUGUGGCAGGACUGCGGCUUCUGCUCGGUGGAGUGUGAUGGAGAGUUAUUAAGACACAUGCUCUUUCACUGCUACCACACUAAGCUAAAGCAAUGGGGUUUAGCUAUGCUUAAGGCUCACCCCAAAACCGGUGACUGUUCAGUGGGUCUUCAGAACCGCAACAUUGUGCCUGAGGUCCAGGAGAGUUUCCUCUGCCUGUGGGAGCAUUGUGAGAUGACCAUGGAUAACCCGGAGUGGUUCUACAGGCACGUUGAGAUGCAUGCACAUUGCCUAGAAGCCAAUAAAGAGAACGUACUGUUUUGUGGCUGGAAAGAUUGUGAAGCUUCAUUUAAGGGCCGGUUUAAACUACGGGAGCACAUGCGCAGUCACACUCAAGAGAAGCUGGUGGCGUGUCCUACCUGCGGGGGAAUGUUUGCCAACAACACCAAAUUCUUCGACCAUAUCCGAAGACAGACUUCUAUAGAGGGACAACGGUUUCAGUGCUCUCAUUGCUCAAAGCGUUUUGCAACUGAAAGGCUGCUGAGAGACCACAUGAGGAAUCAUGUAAACCAUUAUAAGUGUCCGCUGUGUGACAUGACAUGCCCCUCACCAUCUUCUCUGAGGAACCAUAUCAAAUUUCGCCACAGCAACGAGAAACCCUACAGCUGUGACUAUUGCGUGUACAGCUGUAAGAACCUGAUAGAUUUGCGAAAGCAUCUGGAAACGCAUAGCAGUGAACCGGCCUAUCACUGUGACUUUGCUGACUGUGACUAUUCAACCCGCUCCCUGCACUCCAUCAAAAACCAUUACAAACGUGUACACGAGGGAGAUUAUACUCCCCGCUAUAAGUGCCACGUAUGUGAGCAGUGUUUCACCAGAGGGAAUAAUCUCACCGCACACCUACGUAAGAAACACCAGUUCAAAUGGCCUUCAGGGCAUCCCAGGUUCAGAUAUAAAGAGCAUGAGGACGGAUUUAUGAGGCUACAGUUGAUCCGCUACGAGAGUGUAGAGUUGACUGAGCAGCUGAUGCGAGAGCGACAGGGAGGAGGAGACAGCAGCGAAUCUGCUCCACAGACACCAGGCUUACAUUCUGAGGAAGAGUCCGAGAAAACUGCGCUCCCUGUGAAUGCAGAAGAGAACACCAGUGUGAACACAAGUGAAGAUAGAGAAGGAGACUGGAGAGCACAAGAAGAUCACGAGAAUGUGCUUCUGGACCUCACAAGUGGUGCUUCUUCCUCAGAGGUGGAUUCGAACAUGGGGGAGUCUGUGAUGCGACGGUUACAAGACACCGCUCAGAAGCUAGGCAUGGAGGUGGUCUAAUCCCCUUGGUCCUAAAUGAAGUGAAAUUAGAUAAUUAAUCAUUUAAAAAGAAGGACUCAGUCAGGAGUAUCAGUGAACUGUGGUUUGCCAGAUGUUCAUUUUAACAGGGUGGUGUAUGGGAAUGACUGGUGGGUGGGCUCGAUGGUGCGUCAUGUGUGCAGACCGGGAUUUAUGCUGGUUGGAGAACCAAUGCGGACUUGUCAAUCAAAUGGAAAAUGGACUGCUAAGCCAUCAUGCCUCAGUGAGUAUGUCUCUCACCAGACAUUCACAAUUCACAUACAGAACAAUCCUGCAUUAUCCUCUCAAUCCAUAGAGACAAUUCCUCUAUUUUUUUUCCUAUGAUAAUUAUUUUCAUAAUAAGCCUGUGUGUGUAUAUGUGACAGGUGUGUGUCAUAGGGAACGGUAGAAAUCGGUACGAGAGAUAUUGAUGAAGCUGGCACCUCCUCCUGCCCAUCAAAAGACACAAUGUCCAUCAAGCAUGAUUGUACUUUCAUGGACGAGUGCAGAAUCAAAUAGUCAGGCUGGAAACACUGGUUUACACACUGCACCCACUGCAAGUGUGAAUACUUCUUUCUUUGUGGUCAGACUCUUACUAAUUUAUAGAUCGAUUGAUAGAUUGAUUAGAUCACCAAUAAUAAUUUAUCGAAUAAAGUUGUCUUUCAGUGCAGUUAUUUCUUGAUUUUGUUUUUCAGCUUCAGCAGGAUAGACUUUCUUUUGUCCCUUCACUUUAAUUUUGACUUCAUCCUGUCACUGAAAAAUGCAAUACAUCGACACAGUAGGGAAAAAGGCACUCGUUCAAAAGAUUAGAAUAUUAGAUUCAAUCUGUAAAGGAGGUUCUUUCCAAUGUGCAAUGAAUACACAACAAACAUGUCCCUGAAAGAACGGGAUUUAUUCACCAAAAGGGCUUCAUGAAUGCAAACUAUAUUUGCAUUUACAGUACAGGUAAACACGGAGACAUUUAAAGAUUCUAUGACAUUAAACACUUACAUAAAACAGAAGAAAAUUCUCAUAAAAAGUGGUAUGCAAAUCCAGCACUAAACUGCUUUAAAAACUUAUUUACUGUUUUUUAGUCUUUGGGCCACAUAGUCCACCUGAAUGGCACCAAACUGCAUGUUGAGACUAAAAGCGAUAGCUGCUACUAUGUUUUUUUAAGGAUAUGCAAUAAUAUUUUGUCAGUUUUAUAUCUACUUAUGAUGCCUAUAAUGCAUAUUAAAAAUAUAGUCCUUCCUUCGGCUGUCACUCUUCUGAAUUCUGCCUCCAUCCUCAAAAAAUGCUGUACUUGCACAAAGACUAUUUUUGCUAUUACACUUAAUACUUUACACAAACUUACUUUAACUGUAAAAACUUUUAUUAAACAUAAACUUUUCUCCAUUGGCAUUUCUCAUUAGAGGCUAACUGCAAUUCAUUGUCUCUGUACAUGUAGACUGCACAGGGCCAUUAAAGCUAAAUCUUUUUCAUCUCAUUAAUUCGUUUCAGACUCAGCAGUUCAGUGCAGUUUGUGUAUAUACAUUUUUUAUACAAUUUUAAUGGCCUAUUUUUGCUUUAAUGCCUGUUUUUUUUUCUUCCUCUAAUUCUCAAUCUUACUGGCUUGGCUAUGCUAUCAUGUUGAAAUCUCAGUCAUGGUACUUACAAAACAAUUCUGUUCUAUUUCCACCUUUCAAUAAUGUAAACUGUGUUCAGAGUUGAAUCCUGUACAACACUUUAUUAUUAUUUAUUUAUUUAUGAUCCUGGCAUUUGCACCACCACCCAUCCCCACACCAAUUAUGUCACAAACAUGAAAAUAUUAAAUUUCUCCUGAUUUUCAAAAGCUUUUAAUGCAUUCAAAAUAAUAAUAAUAAUAAAGUCUACUUCCUGUCUACUAAAUGUCUACUUUCAAACAUACGUACAAUAUAACAACAUACAUAGUGUACAUAUAAAAAAAACUCUUAAAGCCACAGCAAGGAUUCCUUAUACUGUUGGUUUAUUUGCAAAAAAUAAAAGUAAAUAAAAAUGAUUCAAUCAUAUCUCUAGCCCAAUCUCAACUGCUAAUAAACAAUGCACAUUUAAAAUUGAAUCAGAGCCUUAGUAAAGUCUGUAAGCACUUAGUAAUUUUCCCCAGGGUCUAUUUUCAUUAGUCCUAACUCUCUAGUCCUUUAUGUUGCAGUGGUAGGAGUGCUCACUAC